ACCUCUGGAGAAUCCCGGCCGACCGGGUGCCGAAGGGGCAAGGCGAGCGGCAGUGACGAGUUGCUGCGCAUCGCCGAAACUCUCAGGCAAAAGGACAGAGAGC
rnacentral:ncRNA from 1 species